ACUGACCUGGAACAUGCGUUAAGGGCUGUUAAUUGAACCUACAGCUCAUUAACGGGAACCCGAAGUUCUGCGAGGAUUGUCAUGCCGUCCCGGACGGAAGACGCGGUGCGCAGACAGGGUACCCACCUAUCAUCACGAUAGGCGUCAAUUAGGCUCUGACGGUGAUUUCGGGCCAUUU
rnacentral:sRNA from 1 species